GACGAACGCUGGCGGCGUGCCUAAUACAUGCAAGUCGAACGCUGAAGAGAGGAGCUUGCUCUUCUUGGAUGAGUUGCGAACGGGUGAGUAACGCGUAGGUAACCUGCCUGGUAGCGGGGGAUAACUAUUGGAAACGAUAGCUAAUACCGCAUAAAAUGGAUUAUCGCAUGAUAAUCCAUUGAAAGGUGCAAAUGCAUCACUACCAGAUGGACCUGCGUUGUAUUAGCUAGUUGGUGGGGUAACGGCUCACCAAGGCGACGAUACAUAGCCGACCUGAGAGGGUGAUCGGCCACACUGGGACUGAGACACGGCCCAGACUCCUACGGGAGGCAGCAGUAGGGAAUCUUCGGCAAUGGACGGAAGUCUGACCGAGCAACGCCGCGUGAGUGAAGAAGGUUGUCGGAUCGUAAAGCUCUGUUGUAAGAGAAGAACGAGUGUGAGAGUGGAAAGUUCACACUGUGACGGUAGCUUACCAGAAAGGGACGGCUAACUACGUG
rnacentral:rRNA from 1 species